rnacentral:rRNA from 1 species
GACGAACGCUGGCGGCGUGCUUAACACAUGCCAGUCGAACGGUGAAGCGCCUUCCUUUUUGGUGGGUGUGGAUGAGUGGCGAACGGGUGAGUAACACGUGAGUAACCUGCCCCCUUCUUCUGGAUAACCGCAUGAAAGUGUGGCUAAUACGGGAUAUUCUGGGUCUGUCGCAUGAUGGGUCUGGGAAAGAUAUUGUUUCGGUGGGGGAUGGGCUCGCGGCCUAUCAGCUUGUUGGUGGGGUGAUGGCCUACCAAGGCGGUGACGGGUAGCCGGCCUGAGAGGGUGGACGGUCACACUGGGACUGAGACACGGCCCAGACUCCUACGGGAGGCAGCAGUGGGGAAUAUUGCACAAUGGGCGCAAGCCUGAUGCAGCGACGCCGCGUGAGGGAUGGAGGCCUUCGGGUUGUGAACCUCUUUCGCCAGUGAAGCAGGCCUGCCUCGUUUGUGGGUGGGUUGACGGUAGCUGGAUAAGAAGCGCCGGCCAACUACGUG